AAACUGUGGUGAGGGCAUUUUCUUAGUAAAUCUUUGAAUCUUUCCCAAGCUUCAUAUAAGCUUUCUUGAUCAUGGUGAACAAAGGUCAUAAUCUCAUUUGGCAAUUUU
rfam:Jatropha curcas cultivar GZQX0401 scaffold613_7, whole genome shotgun sequence.